GUAUGGAAACCUACUAAGUGAUAACUUUCAAAUUCAGGGAAACCCCGGAAUUCACAAAAAUGGGCAAUCCUGAGCCAAAUCCUGUUUUCUCAAAAGAAAGCGAAAAAAAAAAGGAUAGGUCCAGAGACUCAAUGGAAGCUGUUCUAAAAAAUGGGAGCACCGGUAGAGAAAUCUUUUCGCCAAAACGUCAGAAAGGAUCAAAACCUAUCUAUUGAAUACUAUAUUAAAUUAAUUAUAUAAAAAAAGCACAUAAUUAAUAAAGGCCCGAAUCCAUAGAUGUUUUUUUUCUAUGAAAAAAAGAAUUGGUUCAUCAAAUCAUUCACUCCAUAGUCCGAUAAACCUUUUAAAGAAUUGAUCAAUCGGACAAGAAUAAAGAUAGAGUCCCCUUCUACAUGUCAAUACCGGCAACAAUGAAAUUUAUAGUAAGAGGAAAAUCCGUUGACUUUUUAAAUCGUGAGGGUUCAAGUCCCUCUUCCCCAAACAGACCUAUUUUACUCCCAAAUCAUUAUCCUAGGCUCUCCCUUUCGGUUAAAAAUUGCUUUAUUUUUACCAUUCUUUGACAAACGUAGUUGGGCGUAAAUGACUUUAUCUUCUCCUAUGGGAUAUAGAAUACACACCCAAUUUGAGCAAGGAAUCCCGAUAAAAAUGAAUUUUAAAUCAAUAGCUUUACGAAUACUGAAACUCAUAAAGUGGUCUUUUUGAAAAUCAAAGAAAUUGAAGUACUUGGAGAAAAAUUCGUAAUCCCCCCUUUCCCUUUAAUUGACAUAUACCCCUUCAUCGACUAAAAUAAUAAAAUGCGUAUGGAUUACUAUGCUUGGAAUGGUCGGGAUAGCUCAGCU
rnacentral:misc_RNA from 1 species